rnacentral:rRNA from 1 species
GUGAGGAAUAUUGCGCAAUGGAGGCAACUCUGACGCAGCCAUGCCGCGUGCAGGAAGAAGGCGCUACGCGUUGUAAACUGCUUUUAACCGGGAAGAAACCCCAGGACGUGUCCUGGGUUGACGGUACCGGAGGAAUAAGCACCGGCUCACUUCGUGCCAGCAGCCGCGGUAAUACGAAGGGUGACAGCGUUAUCCGGAUUCAUUGGGUUUAAAGGGUGCGUAGGCGGAGCGUUAAGUCAGUGGUGAAAUCCUGCAGCUUAACUGUAGACUUGCCAUUGAUACUGGCGCUCUUGAGUGCGCUUGAAGUGGGCGGAAUGUGCCGUGUAGCGGUGAAAUGCUUAGAUAUGGCACAGAACACCAAUUGCGAAGGCAGCUCACUAAGGCGAUACUGACGCUGAGGCACGAAAGCGUGGGGAUCGAACAGGAUUAGAAACCCCGGUAGUCC